GAAGGGCGUUUGGUGGAUGCCUUGGCAGUAAGAGGCGAUGAAGGACGUGAUACUCUGCGAUAAGUCAUGGGGAGCUGAGAAUAAGCUUUGAUCCAUGAAUUUCCGAAUGGGGCAACCCACCUGACAGUGCUCUGUUGUUUGCUUCGGCAAUCAACAGGAUGCUGAACCAGGUAUUCUUUACCUGAAUACAUAGGGUUUAGAAAGCAAACCCGGGGAACUGAAACAUCUAAGUACCCGGAGGAAAGGAAAUCAAUAUGAUACUCCCCUAGUAGCGGCGAGCGAACGGGGACCAGCCGAGCCGUGAGUGUGAUUGGAAUUACCUGGGAAGGUAAGCCAGAGUGGGUGACAGCCCCGUACAAGAAGCAUGAUCGGACGUAUUAAGUAGGGCGGGACACGUGAAAUCCUGUCUGAAGAUCGGAGGACCACCUUCGAAGGCUAAGUACUCCUUACUGACCGAUAGCGAACCAGUACCGUGAGGGAAAGGUGAAAAGCACCCCGACGAGGGGAGUGAAACAGUACCUGAAACCGGACGCCUACAAGCAGUGGGAGGGCCCUUGAGGCCUGACCGCGUACCUUUUGUAUAAUGGGUCAUCGACUUGGUCUCACGAGCAAGCUUAAGCCGUUAGGUGUAGGCGCAGCGAAAGCGAGUCUUAAUAGGGCGACAUAGUUCGUGGGAUCAGACCCGAAACCGAGUGAUCUAGGCAUGACCAGGAUGAAGGUUAGGUAACACUAACUGGAGGUCCGAACCCACACCUGUUGAAAAAGGUCGGGAUGAGUUGUGCCUAGGGGUGAAAGGCCAAUCAAACUCGGAGAUAGCUGGUUCUCCGCGAAAUCUAUUUAGGUAGAGCGUCAUCCGAAUACCCCGGGGGGUAGAGCACUGGAUGGGUAAUGGGGCCCCACAGGCUUACUGAUCCUAACCAAACUCCGAAUACCCGGGAGUACUAGAUGGCAGACACACGGCGAAUGCUAACGUCCGUCGUGAAGAGGGAAACAACCCUGACCUCCAGCUAAGGCCCCUAAUUCAUGGCUAAGUGGGAAAGCAGGUGGGACGACCAAAACAACCAGGAGGUUGGCUUAGAAGCAGCCAUCCUUUAAAGAUAGCGUAACAGCUCACUGGUCUAAAUAAGUUGUCCUGCGGCGAAGAUGUAACGGGGCUCAAGCCAUGAGCCGAAGCUGAGGAUGCACAUCGUGCAUGGUAGCGGAGCGUAGUGUGAUAUAGUUCCACGCCUCUCCUGCAUCGCUUGCGAUGCAUAGGAGGCAGGGAAUUUUCGAUGAAGCCCGGGCGUGAGCCAUCGGGUGGAGAGAUCACUAGCGAGAAUGAUGACAUGAGUAGCGACAAACAGGGUGAGAGACCCUGUCGCCGAAAGUCCAAGGGUUCCUGCUUAAAGCUAAUCUGAGCAGGGUAAGCCGACCCCUAAGGCGAGGCCGAAAGGCGUAGUCGAUGGGAAUCAGGUUAAUAUUCCUGAGCCAGUAGGAUG
rnacentral:rRNA from 1 species